rnacentral:tRNA from 1 species
GGGCCCAUAGCUCAGUCGGUAGAGCACCGUGCUGAUAACGCGGGGGUCUCAGGUUCGAUCCCUGAUGGGCCCA